UCACUCAAUUUUGACCUCUUCCGCCUAACUGAACUUUGAGAGGCAUCUGCUUCUUUUUUUCUUUCUUCGUAUCCUCUUGGUUCUUCAAAUCUUCAUUUUGGUUUAAUAAUUUUGUGGUAACAGAAUUAGACAUAAUGGAAUUAUGUGAUGAACUAUGAUUGCCAACACCCUCCCUCAAGAUGGAGGGGAGAGAAACAACACCUAACUUGCUGAGGAUUGAUGAAUUAGAAGGCCCAGAAAGGUGUUUUAUGAAUAGAUCGGCUAAUUGGGAAGAAGAAGGAAUAAAAGUGAGAGAUAUGAUGCCAUAAAGAAAUUGUUGGCGUACAAAAUGACAAUCUAGCGCGACAUGUUUAGUUCUUUCGUGAAAGAUGGGAUUGCGAGCAAUAUGUAUCGCCGCUUGGCUAUAGGAGUGAAGAGAAAUAGGAAGUGACAGGCUGAUGGAAAGAUCUUCACGGAGCUGAAUUAACCAUGUGAUUUCAGCUACAACUCUUCGCAUGGAUCGAUACUCGGCCUCCGCUGAAGAUAAUGAAAUUGAUGCUUGUUUCUUAGAUUUCCAUGAAAUUGGAGAUCCCCCUAGACUGAGAAAGUACCCAGAGAGUCUAGGCAAGAACCCCAAUCGGCAUCGCAAAAGGCAAGUAGAGUGAGAGAUGGAUCUGUUCUCAUAAAGAGACCUUGACCUGGGUUAUUUUGUAGAUAACUAAGAACACGAAUUGAAGCAGUGGAGUGAGGAAGACGAGGAUCCUGCAUAUAUUGGCUAAGAUAUUGCAUUGUGUAUGAAAUAUCUGGCCUUGUAUGAGUCAGGUAAUUAAGCUUUCCAAGAAGACGUCGAUAGACAGUAGGAUCCGAAAGAGGCUCAUCAGAAUCAGCACUGAGUUUGCACGAGGGAUCCAAAGGAGAAGAUACUGAAGAUAAAUGAUCACACUUGAACUCAGCAAGGAGUGGUAGUUUUGAGAAUUUACGCUCCUUUCAACUAUUUGAAGCCUUGAAUAACUUACUACGAGAUACGAGGCUUUCGAAGACCAAUUCAUGAGAUAAGGGCAUAGCAGAGUGAGAAAUUACACGGUUUGAGAUUCGAGGCAUUUGGAGGCCAAUUCACGAGGCAAAGACC